rnacentral:miRNA from 2 species
CGGAGCCGUUAUGAGAGAAGA